GUGCUCGCUUCAGAUGCACACACACUAAACUUGGAACUAUACAGAGAAGCUAAGUAUGGCCCUGUGCAAAAUGACACACAAAUUCAUGAAACAUUCUAUAUUUAA
ensembl:snRNA U6 U6 spliceosomal RNA